rnacentral:tRNA from 1 species
CUGCCCGUAGCUCAACCGGAUAGAGCACCGGCCUUCUAAGCCGGGGGUUGUGGGUUCGAGUCCCGCCGGGCGGACCA